AGACCACCACGAUGACUUGUAAGCAACUCACUGUACUUUAGUAUCGGACUAUCUGAGUUUCUAACUUAGUGAUGGAAGGAUACUAGGUGCAGUCAAAUACUUAUCAAGUCGGUGUGUGAGUCAAGCUGAAAUUGACCUCUCUGAAUUGAUAGGAGAUAUGCAUCAGUGUAUUUCAAUUUAGCAAAAUCUUGAUCAGGAUAAUCUAUGAGA
rnacentral:lncRNA from 1 species